AUGAACGCUGGCGGCGUGCCUAAUACCUGCAAGUCGAGCGAACAGACGAGGAGCUUGCUCCUCUGACGUUAGCGGCGGACGGGUGAGUAACCCGUGGAUAACCUACCUAUAAGACUGGGAUAACUUCGGGAAACCGGUGCUAAUACCGGAUGAUCUAUUGAACCGAAUGGUUCACUAGUGAAAGACGGUUUUGCUGUUACUUAUAGGUGGGUCCACGCCGCAUUAGCUAGUUGGUGAGGUAACGGCUUACCAAGGCAACGAUGCGUAGCCGAUCUGAGAGGGUGAUCGGCCACACUGGAACUGAGACACGGCCCAGACUCCUACGGGAGGCAGCAGUAGGGAAUCUUCGGCAAAGGGCGAAAGCUUGACGCAGCAACGCCGCGUGAGUGAAGAAGGUCUUCGGAUCGUAAAACUCUGUUAUUAGGGAAGAACAAAUGUGUAAGUAACUAGGCACGUCUUGACGGUACCGAAUCAGAAAGCCACGGCUAACUACGUG
rnacentral:rRNA from 1 species